rnacentral:rRNA from 1 species
UCCUGCUACUAAUGGAAUUGUUCAUGUCGUUGAUGCGGUUAUUGGACUACCAACAGUAGUAACGUUUGCAACUUCAAAUCCAAUGUUUGAAACUUUGGUUGCAGCACUAACAAGGGAAGAUCUUACUACGGAUUAUGUAUCUGUAUUAUCUUCAGUUGCUAGUCCAUCUCCGUUCACUGUCUUUGCUCCAACAAAUGAAGCUUUCGGGUCAUUAUUAACAGAGGUUGGGAUGGGUUCAUUGAGUGAAAUUCCUGUAGAUUUAUUAACAUCGACUUUAAACACGCAUGUAGUAGCGUCGGCAAAUGUAAGAUCAGGAGAUUUAACACAGGGAAUGGCUGUGUCUACUUUAGGAGAUGCUUUAACAGUUUCUUUAGAUGCUGGCCCACAACUUAUUGAUUUAAAUGAUAGAGUUGCUAAUAUUAUAGAGGUUGAUGUACAGGCCUACAAUGGCGUAGUGCAUAUAAUUGACAAAGUCGUGUUGCCGCAAUUAUAAUGUUUAUAUUAUUAUAUUAAAAUGAAAAAGCCAUCUUAUAGAUGGCUUUUUUUAUACAUUAUUAUUUAACGUGGUAUUUCCAUAUAGUCCGCUACUAAAUUCACCAUUGCAUCAACGCCUAACAUAAAACCACUUUCGUCUAGAAAAAAGUCUUGGCAAUAACAUUCUGCCUAGCUCACUAGUCGAGCGGUUCGGCAUGGAUAAUAAUCGGGCAUAAACAUAUUACCGAAGCUAUGGACUUGUAAAAGUGGUAGGGGAGCAUUGUAGUGUCGUCGAAGGUAAAACGUGAGUUUUGCUGGAGAAGCUACAAAAGAAAAUGUAGGCAUAAGUAACGAUAAUGCGGGCGAGAAACCCGCACACCGAAAGACUAAGGUUUCCUCAGCUAUGCUAAUCAGCUGAGGGUUAGUCGGGACCUAACGCGAACCCGAAAGGGGUAGUGGAUGGACAACAGAUUAAUAUUUCUGUACCUGCUCACAAUAAAAGUGACGGAGGCGUAAAUUUGGUGCGUACUGACGGAAUAGUACGUUGAAGCCAGUGGUAACACGGCGAUAGUACACUGAAACUUCGGUAGAGGUGAUAAUCCAGAAAAGCGACUUCCAAGAAAAACAAGUGAAGCAGCCCGUACCCUAAACCGACACAGGUAGUUGGGAUGAGUAUUCUAAGGUGCUCGAGAGAUUCAUGGCUAAGGAACUAGGCAAAAUCGACCCGUAACUUCGGGAGAAGGGUCGCCCAUCUUCGGAUGGGCCGCAGUGAAAAGGUCCAGGCGACUGUUUAUCAAAAACACAGGGCUUUGCUAAAGUGAAAGAUGAUGUAUAAGGCCUGACACCUGCCCGGUGCUGGAAGGUUAAGAGGAGAAGUUAGUUUCGACGAAGCUUUGAAUUGAAGCCCCAGUAAACGGCGGCCGUAACUAUAACGGUCCUAAGGUAGCGAAAUUCCUUGUCGGGUAAGUUCCGACCUGCACGAAUGGUGUAACGAUCUGGGCACUGUCUCAGCCAUGAGCUCGGUGAAAUUGUAGUAACGGUGAAGAUGCCGUUUACCCGCUGUGGGACGAAAAGACCCCGUGAACCUUUACUAUAGCUUAGUAUUGGCUUUGGAUAAGUAAUGUGUAGGAUAGGUGGGAGACUUUGAAGCGACGUCGCUAGGCGUUGUGGAGUCACUGUUGAAAUACCACCCUUUCCUUAUUCGUAGUCUAACCCAUAACUGGGGACAGUG